rnacentral:rRNA from 1 species
GACGAACGCUGGCGGCGUGCCCAAUACAUGCAAGUCGAACGGUCUUUUCUAUGGAAGCUUGCUUCCACUGAGAAGAUAGUGGCGAACGGGUGAGUAACACGUGGGUAACCUGCCCAUAAGAGGGGGAUAACAUCCGGAAACGGGUGCUAAUACCGCAUAGUUUUCUUGAUCGCAUGAUUGAGAAAGGAAAGACGGCCUUUGUGCUGUCGCAUAUGGAUGGACCCGCGGCGUAUUAGUUAGUUGGUGAGGUAACGGCUCACCAAGACGAUGAUACGUAGCCGACCUGAGAGGGUGAUUGGCCACAUUGGGACUGAGACACGGCCCAAACUCCUACGGGAGGCAGCAGUAGGGAAUCUUCCGCAAUGGACGAAAGUCUGACGGAGCAACGCCGCGUGAGUGAAGAAGGUUUUCGGAUCGUAAAACUCUGUUGUCAGAGAAGAACAAGUUGGAGAGAAACUGCUCCAGCCUUGACGGUAUCUGACCAGAAAGCCACGGCUAACUACGUGCCAGCCGCCGCGGUAAUAC